rnacentral:rRNA from 2 species
CGAGCAUCUUUGUGGUCAAGUUGUCAAGGGCGAACGGUGGAUGCCUUGGCACCAGGAGCCGAUGAAGGACGUGGGAGGCCGCGAUAGGCCUGGGGGAGCUGUCAACCAAGCUGUGAUCCCAGGGUGUCCGAAUGGGGUAACCCGGCAUCAGUCAUGUGAUGUCACCCGCACCUGAACUCAUAGGGUGUGUGGAGGGAACGCGGGGAAGUGAAACAUCUCAGUACCCGUAGGAAGAGAAAACAAAUAGUGAUUCCGUGAGUAGUGGCGAGCGAAAGCGGAUCGAGGCUAAACCGGUUGCGUGUGAUACCUGUCAGGGGUUGCGUGGUCGGGGUUGUGGGACCCUGCUCGACAGGCUGACACCUGUUGGAGAAGUUACAAAGCCAGUUGUUAGCUGAAUGGUCUGGAAAGGCCGACCGUAGACGGUGAUAGUCCGGUAGGUGAAAGCAGCUGGUCUUCUGUGGGUGUUCCCGAGUAGCGGCGGACUCCUGAAAUCUGCCGUGAAUCUGCCAGGACCACCUGGUAAGCCUAAAUACUUCCUGGUGACCGAUAGCGGACGAGUACCGUGAGGGAAUGGUGAAAAGUACCCCGGGAGGGGAGUGAAAUAGUACCUGAAACCGUUCGCCUACAAUCCGUCGGAGCCUUUAGGGGUGACGGCGUGCCUUUUGAAGAAUGAGCCUGCGAGUUAGUGGCAUGUGGCGAGGUUAACCCGUGUGGGGGAGCCGUAGCGAAAGCGAGUCUGAAGAGGGCGUUUGAGUCGCAUGUUCUAGACCCGAAGCGGAGUGAUCUAGCCAUGGGCAGGCUGAAGCGCGGGUAAGACCGCGUGGAGGGCCGAACCCACCAACGUUGAAAAGUUGGGGGAUGACCUGUGGUUAGGGGUGAAAGGCCAAUCAAACUCCGUGAUAGCUGGUUCUCCCCGAAAUGCAUUUAGGUGCAGCGUCGCGUGUUUCUUGCCGGAGGUAGAGCACUGGAUGGUCUAGGGGGCCCACAAGCUUACCGAAAUCAGCCAAACUCCGAAUGCCGGUAAGUGAGAGCGCGGCAGUGAGACUGCGGGGGAUAAGCUUCGUAGUCGAGAGGGAAACAGCCCAGAUCACCAGCUAAGGCCCCUAAGCGUGUGCUAAGUGGAAAAGGAUGUGGGGUCGCAUAGACAACCAGGAGGUUGGCUUAGAAGCAGCCACCCUUUAAAGAGUGCGUAAUAGCUCACUGGUCAAGUGGUUCCGCGCCGACAAUGUAGCGGGGCUCAAGUACACCGCCGAAGCUGUGGCACUCACACGUGUGCUUCGCAUCGUCUUUCGGGAUGGUGUGCAG